rnacentral:rRNA from 1 species
UCCUGUACCGAUGUGUAGUGCGAUGUGGGGACGGAGAAGGUUAACUCAUCCGGGUGUUGGAUUACCCGGUUCAAGCCUGUAGUCGUGGUCCUUAGGCAAAUCCGGGGACCUUAGAUGAGGGGUGAUAACGAGGAAGCUUGCUUCUGAAGUGAGUGAUACCCUGCUUCCAAGAAAAGCCACUAAGCUUCAGCUACACACGACCGUACCGCAAACCGACACUGGUGCGCGAGAUGAGUAUUCUAAGGCGCUUGAGAGAACUCUGGAGAAGGAACUCGGCAAAUUGACACCGUAACUUCGGAAGAAGGUGUGCCCCUAGUAGGUGAAGUCGUACAGACGGAGCCCAAUGGGGUCGCAGAUAAUAGGUGGCUGCGACUGUUUAUUAAAAACACAGCACUCUGCAAAGACGAAAGUCGACGUAUAGGGUGUGACGCCUGCCCGGUGCUGGAAGAUUAAAUGAUGGGGUGCAAGCUCUUGACUGAAGUCCCAGUAAACGGCGGCCGUAACAAUAACGGUCCUAAGGUAGCGAAAUUCCUUGUCGGGUAAGUUCCGACCUGCACGAAUGGCGUAACGAUGGCCACGCUGUCUCCUCCAGAGACUCAGCGAAGUUGAAAUGUUUGUGAUGAUGCAAUCUCCCCGCGGAAAGACGGAAAGACCCCAUGAACCUUUACUGUAGCUUUACAUUGGACUUUGAACAGAUCUGUGUAGGAUAGGUGGGAGGCUUUGAAACCUGGUCGCUAGAUCAGGUGGAGCCAACCUUGAAAUACCACCCUGGUGUGUUUGAGGUUCUAACCUUGGCCCGUUAUCCGGGUUGGGGACAGUGUAUGGUGGGCAGUUUGACUGGGGCGGUCUCCUCCCAAAGCGUAACGGAGGAGUUCGAGGGUACGCUAGGCACGGUCGGAAAUCGUGCUGAUAGUGCAUUGGCAUAAGCGUGCUUGACUGCGAGACUGACAAGUCGAGCAGGUACGAAAGUAGGACAAAGUGAUCCGGUGGUUCUGUAUGGAAGGGCCAUCGCUCAACGGAUAAAAGGUACUCUGGGGAUAACAGGCUGAUACCGCCCAAGAGUUCAUAUCGACGGCGGUGUUUGGCACCUCGAUGUCGGCUCAUCUCAUCCUGGGGCUGUAGCAGGUCCCAAGGGUAUGGCUGUUCGCCAUUUAAAGAGGUACGUGAGCUGGGUUUAAAACGUCGUGAGACAGUUUGGUCCCUAUCUUCCGUGGGCGCUGCAAGAUUGAGAGAGCCUGCUCCUAGUACGAGAGGACCGGAGUGGACGCACCUCUGGUGUAUCGGUUGUCACGCCAGUGGCAUCGCCGAGUAGCUAAGUGCGGAAGAGAUAACCGCUGAAAGCAUCUAAGCGGGAAACUCGUCUCAAGAUGAGCCUUGCCGGGGCCUAGAGCCCCCUGAAGAGUCGUUCGAGACCAGGACGUUGGUAGGCCGGGUGUGGAAGCGCAGUAAUGCGUUAAGCUAACCGAUACUAAUUGCUCGUGAGGCUUGACCCU